ACAAGAUGUAGCUUAAUAAAAGCCCCUCGUUUACACCGAAGAAAUGUCUGUUUAAGUCAGAUCGUCUUGA
rnacentral:tRNA from 1 species